GAUGAACGCUGGCGGCGUGCCUAAUACAUGCAAGUCGAGCGGUAAGGCUUUCACAGAUUAUUUAACCAGAUAAGUUCUUCGGAAAACUGUUUGCAGCGAUGAUUCCCGGCUAGGGAAUCAGAGUUGAAUAAUGCGUGAAAGUACACGAGCGGCGGACGGCUGAGUAACACGUAGGAACGUACCCCAAAGUGAGGGAUAAGCACCGGAAACGGUGUCUAAUACCGCAUGUGAUCUUCGGAUUAAAGCUUCGGCGCUUUGGGAACGGCCUGCGCAUGAUUAGCUUGUUGGUGAGGUAAAAGCUCACCAAGGCGACGAUCAUUAGCUGGUCUGAGAGGGAUGAUCAGCCAGACUGGGACUGAGAACGG
rnacentral:rRNA from 1 species